CACCACCUCUCUACCAUGGACCCCCGCAAAGUGAACGAGCUUCGGGCCAUUGUGAAAAUGUGUAAGCAGGAUCCGAGGGUUCUGCACACCGAGGAAAUGCGCUUCCUGAGAGAGUGGGUGGAGAGCAUGGGGUGUAAAGUACCACCUGCUACUCAGAAAGCUAAAUCAGAAGAAAAUACCAAGGAAGAAAAACCUGAUAGUAAGAAGGUGGAGGAAGACUUAAAGGCAGACGAACCAUCAAGUGAGGAAAGUGAUCCAGAAAUUGAUAAAGAAGGUGUGAUUGAACCAGACACUGAUUCUCCUCAAGAAAUGGGAGAUGAAAAUGCAGAGAUAACGGAGGAGAUGAUGGAUCAGGCAAAUGAUAAAAAAGUGGCUGCUAUUGAAGCCCUUAAUGAUGGUGAACUCCAGAAAGCCAUUGACUUACUCACAGAUGCCAUCAAGCUGAAUCCUCGCUUGGCCAUUUUGUAUGCCAAGAGGGCCAGUGUCUUCGUCAAAUUACAGAAGCCAAAUGCUGCUAUCCGAGACUGUGACAGAGCCAUUGAGAUAAAUCCUGAUUCAGCUCAGCCUUACAAGUGGUGAGGGAAAGCACACAGACUUCUAGGCCACUGGGAGGAAGCCGCCCAUGAUCUUGCCCUUGCCUGUAAAUUGGAUUAUGAUGAAGAUGCUAGUGCAAUGCUGAAAGAAGUUCAACCUAGGGCACAGAAAAUUGCAGAACAUCGGAGAAAGUAUGAGCGAAAACGUGAAGAGCGAGAUCAAAGAAAGAAUAGAAGGAGUUAAGAAGGCUCGAGAAGAGCAUGAGAGAGCCCAGAGGGAGGAAGAAGCCAGACGACAGUCAGGAGCUCAGUAUGGCUCUUUUCCAGGUGGCUUUCCUGGGGGAAUGCCUGGUAGUUUUCCCGGAGGAAUGCCUGGAAUGGGAGGGGCCAUGCCUAGAAUGGCUGGAAUGCCUGGACUCAAUGAAAUUCUUAGUGAUCCAGAGGUUCUUGCAGCCAUGCAGGAUCCAGAAGUUAUGGUGGCCUUCCAGGAUGUAGCUCAGAACCCAGCAAAUAUGUCAAAAUACCAGAACAACCCAAAGGUUAUGAAUCUCAUCAGUAAAUUGUCAGCCAAAUUUGGAGGUCAAGCGUAAUGCCCUUCUGAUAAAUAAAGCCCUUGCUGAAGGAAAAGCAACCUA